UGAGGAAUAUUGGUCAAUGGGCGAGAGCCUGAACCAGCCAAGUCGCGUGAGGGAAGACGGUCCUAUGGAUUGUAAACCUCUUUUGCCGGGGAGCAAAGAGCGGUACGUGUACCGCGCCGAGAGUACCCGGAGAAAAAGCAUCGGCUAACUCCGUGCCAA
rnacentral:rRNA from 1 species